UAGAUAAUAUUAAGAAUCUAAAUGAACAAAUCAUUUUAUGUGUUUGGUCGUGCAUUCGUUUCUCCGAUGGUGUUGAGGCAAGCGUUGGUUUCUCAGUCGCGUGGAUUGGUUGUUUUCGGCGCGUGACGGCAAGGCGAGGAGGUGGUGGUUUGUCUAUCUCCGGUUUCUCUUUGGCUGGUGGACGACAAGCUUCUUCCGAGGAGAUUAGACGUUUCAUCUUGUUUUUGGUUUUCGUGCCCGGUAGAUCUGAGAAGUUUGACGGUACCUUUUGUCCAGCCGGUGGUGGUUCCCCAGGAGGUGUUAGGAAGCUCAGUUCGAAGAAGGCAUUUUCAGAUUCGGAGAUCUCGUCGGGUUUUAGAAUUUUUCUUAGAUCUAGGGUUAGUUGGGGUAUUGGUUAGGUUCGGUGAUUUUCGACAAAUUUCAGGGUUUUUCACAAUUGCGUGUCUACCGGUUUUGUUUGGCUGAUGCUUCUCUGGUUUAAUUGUGAUUCGAGGUUGUUUGUUUCAAGGGUUGUAAUUUUUGUAGUUUGCUUGCUUUCGGCCUUUGGGUUAUGAAAUUGGAUCCUUGCUCUUACGCUCUGUUUUGCUCUCUCGAGUUUAGAUCCUCCUUUGGUUCUUUUCGAGUAUCAUGUUCUUUGGCUCAGCUCCUGCGUCUACUUGUUCUGUGAACAAUUUCGAUUCUUUCGGGUUUGUUCUCGUUUUUGAUUUUUUUUUUUCUAGGGUUUUGGAAUUAUCCCUCGUUUGAUUUUUUCCUCUAGGGUUUUGUAGAAAUUCGUAUUGGGUUUUAUUCGUUUUGAUCGAUAGGUGUUGAGAAUUUAUCAUAGGUUUUAUCGAUCUAGUAUAAAAAACUGUUCUUUGAUCUUUUGCCUUACUUGUUAAUUUGAUUUUCUCUGCUGAUUCUUUGUCUAAAUCUCAUCAUAUAGAUUGAUUUGGAUCAAUUAUGAUUUACUGAUGUCCCAAUUCUUGAGAAGGGUUUAAAAUGCGAUUCCUAAGUCUCUGAUUGUGUAGAGUGUUUGAUUGUUUCUAGGACCUUACUUAGCAAGUUUUCAUCUUUCUCUAGAGCUCAUUGUUGUUCUUCUUGAACUUUGUUGAGUGUUAUCUUAUUUUUAGUCUGUGUUCUGUUCUCUGCUUUGAUUAGAAAAGUGAUUGCUUGUUUCCAUGUUUUCAUUUACCGAAAUUUAGUGAUAUGAUUUUCUUUUUGUUAUGCUUGUUAUUGCAAUAUAGUUCCAAGGAAUUUCCGGUUGUUGAAGGAGCUCGAACGUGGGGAGAAAGGUAUUGGGGAUGGAACUGUGAGCUAUGGAAUGGAUGAUGGAGAUGACAUCUAUAUGCAAUCUUGGACUGGCACCAUCAUCGGUCCUCACAACGUAACUGUUCAUGAAGGUAGAAUUUAUGUCACAGACUGUUCAACAACACCAGAAAUCAUGCAUUUUUGUCACGGGAUAGUGAAGCAAAAAUCAUGCAUUUUUCUCGAGCUGGGUUUGGAUUAUUCUCUCCGGUGAUGAUGAAAGUUCAAGAGCGAUCGUAAUCGGAUUGAUCUGAAAGAGACGAUGGAUCGAUGAAUUGAUUUUGUGAAAGUGUUGUGUGGUGAGCGCGUGGAAAAGGUCCGCCUUUUUUUCGUCAACGGUCUUCAGACAACUAAUCCUCCACUUACGGUCCAUCAUUUUUAUGUCCUAAUUGUAAUUAAUUAUUAUGUAUCUCAACUUUAUUAUACUAUUAAUUUGAUGAAAGAAUGUUUUAGACUUAGUAUUUCAUUUAUGAAAAUGACAGUUGUUGUACCUAA